rnacentral:rRNA from 1 species
GACGAACGCUGGCGGCGUGCUUAACACAUGCAAGUCGAACGGAAAGACCCUGCUUUUGUGGGGUGCUCGAGUGGCGAACGGGUGAGUAACACGUGAGUAACCUGCCCUUGACUUUGGGAUAACUUCAGGAAACUGGGGCUAAUACCGGAUAGGAGCUCCUGCUGCAUGGUGGGGGUUGGAAAGUUUCGGCGGUUGGGGAUGGACUCGCGGCUUAUCAGCUUGUUGGUGGGGUAGUGGCUUACCAAGGCUUUGACGGGUAGCCGGCCUGAGAGGGUGACCGGCCACAUUGGGACUGAGAUACGGCCCAGACUCCUACGGGAGGCAGCAGUGGGGAAUAUUGCGCAAUGGGCGGAAGCCUGAUGCAGCAACGCCGCGUGCGGGAUGACGGCCUUCGGGUUGUAAACCGCCUUCGCCUGUGACGAAGCGUGAGUGACGGUAAUGGGUAAAGAAGCACCGGCUAACUACGUG